rnacentral:rRNA from 1 species
UACGUAGGGUGCGAGCGUUGUCCGGAAUUACUGGGCGUAAAGAGCUCGUAGGUGGUUUGUCGCGUUGUUCGUGAAAUCUCACGGCUUAACUGUGAGCGUGCGGGCGAUACGGGCAGACUAGAGUACUGCAGGGGAGACUGGAAUUCCUGGUGUAGCGGUGGAAUGCGCAGAUAUCAGGAGGAACACCGACGGCGCAGGCAGCGUCCUGGCCGCUUGCUGACACUGAGGCACGAAAGCUGGGGGAGCAAACAGG